GCUAGCGGGAUGCUUUACACAUGCAAGUCGAACGGCAGCAUGAGAGAGCUUGCUCUCUUGAUGGCGAGUGGCGGACGGGUGAGUAAUGUAUCGGAACGUGCCCGGUAGUGGGGGAUAACUACGCGAAAGCGUAGCUAAUACCGCAUAUUCUCUACGGAGGAAAGAGGGGGAUCGUAAGACCUCUUGCUACCGGAGCGGCCGAUAUCAGAUUAGCUGGUUGGUGGGGUAACGGCCUACCAAGGCGGUGAUCUGUAGCUGGUUUGAGAGGACGACCAGCCACACUGGGACUGAGACACGGCCCAGACUCCUACGGGAGGCAGCAGUGGGGAAUUUUCGACAAUGGGGGGAACCCUGAUCGAGCCAUCUCGCGUGUGGGACGAAGGCCUUCGGGUUGUAAACCACUUUUCUCAACGAAGAAAAGUCUUAGGCUAAUACCUUAAGAUGCUGACGGUAGUUGAGGAAUAAGCACCGGCUAACUACGUGCCAGCAGCCGCGGUAAUACGUAGGG
rnacentral:rRNA from 1 species